rnacentral:rRNA from 1 species
UAUCAAUAAGCGGAGGAAAAGAAACCAACAGGGAUUGCCCCAGUAACGGCGAGUGAAGCGGCAACAGCUCAAAUUUGAAAUCUGGCUCCCCCCUGGGGGGCCCGAGUUGUAAUUUGGAGAGGAUGCUUUGGGCGCGGCGCCUUCCGAGUUCCUUGGAACAGGACGCCAGAGAGGGUGAGAGCCCCGUACGGUCGGACGCCUAGCCCGUGUAAAGCUCCUUCGACGAGUCGAGUAGUUUGGGAAUGCUGCUCAAAAUGGGAGGUAAAUUUCUUCUAAAGCUAAAUACCGGCCAGAGACCGAUAGCGCACAAGUAGAGUGAUCGAAAGAUGAAAAGCACUUUGAAAAGAGGGUUAAACAGCACGUGAAAUUGUUGAAAGGGAAGCGCCUGUGGCCAGACGUGCGCCCCGCGGACCACCCGUCGCUCUGCGGCGGGGCACGCCGCGGCGGCGCAGGCCAGCAUCGGCUCUCCCAGGGGGACAAAGGUCGCGGGAACGUAGCUCCUUCGGGAGUGUUAUAGCCCGCGGCGCCAUGCCUCUGGGGGGGCCGAGGACCGCGCCUUCGGGCAAGGAUGCUGGCGUAAUGGCCACCAGCGACCCGUCUU